rnacentral:rRNA from 1 species
UACAGAGGUCCCGAGCGUUGUUCGGAUUCACUGGGCGUAAAGAGCUCGUAGGCGGUUCAGUAAGUCAGGUGUGAAAUCUUUGGGCUUAACCCAAAGCGUGCACUUGAUACUGCUGUGACUUGAGUUCGGUAGGGGAGUGGGGAAUUCCUAGUGUAGCGGUGAAAUGUGCAGAUAUUAGGAGGAACACCGGUGGCGAAGGCGCCACUCUGGGCCGAAACUGACGCUGAGGAGCGAAAGCGUGGGUAGCAAACAGG